AUGAACAUGUCAGAGCUUGAUUUUCUCGAAAUAUUGAAAAUGUUUAAUGCGUUUCUUGUAUUCAUAGAGAAUCCAAAUGUUUGCGAAGAAAUAAACACUGAAAAUGUUAUAAAAAUUUUUCAGUGUGCUCAAUUUAUUGAAAUUACAAUUGCUAAAGCAUAUGAAAUAGGCAAAGAAAAUGUACUUGAUAAUAAUCUUCACAAUCAUUGGUUGAAAGAAGGUAGAUCAAAUUUAUAUAAAUGUUCUGAAUUGAAAUAUGCCUGUGAUAAAUUAUUAGAAAUAUAUUUGAAAGAUACUAAUAUUUCAACUGAUAUUAUAGAUGAAUUUUUAAAAUUGUACAUUGAAUAUUGUGGCAAUGAUAGAUUCAAUAAUUUUCUUAAACAUAUAUUAAUUAAUGGAAUAUGUACAAAUAUAAUUAUAGAAUCUUUUGAAAAAUUGGACAUUUCUGCUUCAAAUAUACAAGAUGAAGCUUUAAUUAUGUCUUGGGAAUUUUUAAUUGGUAAUAGUAAUGAAUAUGAAGUUUUACAAUGUAUUCAUAAAAUGUUUGAUGAUGGUUUUUACUUAAAAUUAAUUCAAUUUGCUGGUAACUUAGAUAACAACAAUAAAAUUAAACAAAUAAUAGUUCAACUAUUAUCAAACAAGCUUAUUCAAAAUGAUGCAAAUCUUUGUUUAAUUUUUAUAAAUAUAAAACAAACAUUACUUUGGAAUUUUAUGCAAAAAAAUCCAGAGCUUUAUACAAAUUUUCUUGAUAGUAUAUUUUAUUUUGCACGUCAUAUGAAACAGAUUGAAAAUCAUUGGAUAUCGAACUACGAAUUUAAAUAUGAACAUCUUGUUAAAAUAGUAGAAAUAUUAUUAAAUGGUCCUACAGAAAUUUCAGACAUAAUAUACAACAGAAUGAAAUUAGUAAAAACACAUCCCAAUGGUAUAAUAUGGCAAAAAAUUGAAAAAGAUAUUGGAUGACUUAGUGUACCAGAUAAUACUCCGUUUACUGCUGUAUUAAAAUUUGCUGCAGAAGAAUUCAAAGUAUCUCCAUCAACAUCUGCAAUAAUCACAGAUGAUGGAAUAGGUAUCAAUCCGCAACAAACAGCAGGAAACGUUUUUCUUAAACAUGGAUCUGAAUUAAGAUUAAUUCCUAGAGAUCGAGUUGGAUAUGGUAGAUAAUUUGCACAA
rnacentral:misc_RNA from 1 species